AAAAAAGGGUUAAUCCAGGGAACAGAGAUUCACCGAGUAGCACCUGAAGCAAGGCCAGGCUGGACAGGGCUUGAAGGAACCGGGUCUAGUGGAAGUUGUCCCUGCCCAUGGCAGGGGCUGGAAUGAGAUGAGCAUUAAGGUCCCUUCCCACCCAAACCAUUGCAUGAGUCAAUGAUUCCACGGUUCUGUAGGAGCAUCAUCCUCCUGCUGCUGAGCAGCAGCCCCUGCACCAGAGCCUCCCGGGCUGCCAUUUUGGUGGAAACCCAUCUAGGCUGAGCUUUUCCUUUUACCUUUAAGCCAGCAGUCUAGCUGUGCCUACAUUGUGCAGGACUCUCCCUUGGCUCUCGUAUGUCAUUAUUUCAAGGCCAGGCUGCACAGGGCUUGGAGCAAUCUGGGUUAGUGAAGGUGUCCCUGCCAUGGCAGAGGUGGAAUUGGAUAUGGUUUAAAGUUUCUUCCAGGCCAAACCAUUCUCUUAGUGAAUGUCUUAGUGAUAUAAUAGGGUGAUCCUAAGGCUCUGGCAAGGCUAAGGAAUCUCUUCUGGCCCGACAUGAAGCUGUGCCUGCCAGAACUCCUUCCAGCUGGAGGUGAUCUGCUCCAACAUUUCCUGGUGCUCUGUGCACAGGGUGCAGCUGAGCAGGAAGGUCUGUCCUGCAGAGCCCUGCCCUUGGCUGGGAGCACCAGGCGCUGCUCCAGAGCUGGGUGAAGUCACCGUGACAAAGUCACCAUUUCACCUCUGUCAGCGCAGCUCUCGCAACUGCCCUUUGCAGUGGUAUCAUCACCUCGUGUCCCCAGGUGAGGUGUUUGUCACAGGAACAGGGAAAGGGCUUCUCUGCUUAAUGCUGAACGGAGGAUAGGCUGGAUGUUCCUCUGCCACACUCCUGGUAGAAGGAAAGGAUCUAUGGAGCAUCUUCAGGAUCUAUUGUAGCUACAGCUGGAUUGUGUGGAUGUCCUGUGGAUGAGGUGAUUGAGUACUUCUUCAGCCGCUUCAAAAUUUCUCUCUGGGGGCUGGCCCCUGGAGGACGGGUAUUUAGAGCCUUAAGGGAGACCUUCGACAAAUUCCUGCCUCCAAAUGCCCACGAGCUGGUGUCUGGAAAGCUGCACAUUAUCCUCACCCGCCUGCACGACUGGAGAUGCGUGACAGUGUCCGAGUUUGCCUCGAAGGAGGAGCUGAUUCAGGCUGUCAUAUGCAGUUGCUCCGUUCCACUGUAUUUUGGGAUUUUCCCUCCAACGUUCCGUGGGGUGCGCUACGUGGACGGGGAGCUGGCCAUGUGGAGAGCCGACUUCGUGUCCCGCACCACCAUCACCAUCUCUGCCUUCGCUGGCGAAUACGACAUCUGCCCCAAGGAUGGCCCCGCUGCCUUCUUGACCUUCCAGAUCUCUGACUGUAUCUUACAGAUCUCAAAAAUGAACAUCUGCCGCUUACAACACGUUUUACAGGUUCUCACACAUCAGGUCAUGGACCGCUUUUAUGCCCAGGGCUACCAGGACACAGUCUCCUUCCUAAAAAGACUGAGGGAUUUCCAGGUGAAUUACUUUGAGGGCUUCACACUUUCCUUGGCCAAUGAACCAAAUCAGAAAGGUGACGAGACCCUGCACCUGAAGCCACGACUGAGGCUUUUUCACUCCAGAGCCACAGAUCAUGAGGAUGACAACAAAGAGAAUCCAGGAAUCAUCCAGGCAGCAGAUAAAGAAGAAUAGGAAGCCUCACACCACCUUCUCCACCCCAGGCAGGACCAGAUCAGCCACAGAAGAGCAUUUCUGAGCCUGCUGCUGCCUUUGGCCCCAGCUUCUGCUUUAAAAACCAAUGAGCAACUUGGAACCCAGCCUGAAGGCUGAGCCUGACCUGCCCUGAGGAGCACAUGGGCUCUGCCAGCAAUGCCACAGCACAGGCAGGGCCACAGCCCGGGAUGAUUCCCAUGAUCCACCCCUAGAGGAGGCAUUCCAGGCUGGUUCUAUCCCCACUGGGUGCAGCUGGGCUUCCCACUUUGCUUCCUUGCAGUGAAACAAGCUCCUGCACAAGAUGAUUCCAAUCAAUGCCAAACUUUGCCUCUAUCCAUUGCCUCUCUCAAAGUCUCCAUUGCCAUUAGCUCCAAGCUCGUGUCUCCAAGAGGAGACAGCACCAGCUCUGCUUGCUUGAAAAGAUGAGGGAUUAAUAAACAAA
ensembl:lncRNA